UACGAAGGGGCCUAGCGUUGCUCGGAAUUACUGGGCGUAAAGCGCACGUAGGCGGCUAUUUAAGUCCGGGGUGAAAUCCCGGGGCUCAACCCCGGAACUGCCUUUGAUACUGCAAAUCUCGAGUCCGGAAGAGGUGAGUGGAAUUCCUAGUGUAGAGGUGAAAUUCGUAGAUAUUAGGAAGAACAUCAGUGGCGAAGGCGGCUCACUGGUCCGGUACUGACGCUGAGGUGCGAAAGCGUGGGGAGCAAACAGG
rnacentral:rRNA from 1 species